rfam:Triticum aestivum genome assembly, contig: Triticum_aestivum_CS42_TGACv1_scaffold_375937_5AL
AGUAUACUCCCUCCAUCCGAAAAUACUUGUCAUCAAAAUGGAUAAAAAGAGAUGUAUCUAGAACUAAAAUACAUCUAGAUACAUCCCCUUCUAUCCAUUUUGAUGACGAGUAUUUCCGGACGGAGGGAGUACAAC